CUCUAUGCAUAUCAAGAGGAUGAGUGGAAUUUCAUUGACUGGGCAAUGCUUGAAACAUAAGGCUGAUGUACUUUUCUUGUUCCCAUUGAAUGUGAUGACAAGCUCUCAUGGCUUAGUGCCAUGCUAUGGUGUUCAUAUGAUGUCAUGGUGUUGGUCUUGUUGUGAAUAUAUAGAAUGGCAUAUCUGGUAUUGGUCUUGCUCCGAUCUAUGUGGUAUUGAACGUCUCUUGAAAAUAAGGAUGCAGAUGUAUGGUUGAGGCAGUUUGAUGCUUGGUAUGCAAAUGAAAAUAAGGACCCUAUGUUUCAUUGCUUGCUGAUUAUAUGGAGGUAUCAGUGCUCUGUGUUGGUGCUAUUGAGAGGAAAACAAGGGCUGCUAUGAUUAUCA
rnacentral:lncRNA from 1 species